GUUUUGUGAUUAUUUUUUUUACAACUUUAAAUACGGAAUAUAAAUAAAUUUUACAUUUAAAAAAUAAAAGGAAAGCCCCCAAAAAUAUAAUCACCGACUUUUCAAACUGAAGGAAGCAGAUUUGGGAGGGGGGAGGGGCGAGCGCAGCGGGAGGGGGGAAGGGAGGCGGAGCUCAGACCCCACCCCUGGGGCCCCCGGAUCUUCUCCCUUUGCUCCCCCACUCCCAGCCCAGGAGCUGGUUUCCGGGGAGGAGCCGCCAGAGGCGGAGCUCAAAGGAUCUAAGAUGGGGGAGCGGGCGGGGGAACAGGAGCCGCCCCAUCCCUUGGAGACGUCCUCUUGGGUUUUUCAAACCUGCCUGGAAGGAGGACUGUUUGAGCUGAGGACUCGGGGAGAUGGAGGCCGGACGCACAACAGCGUGCCUCCCCGCCAACACGGGCUCACUCCCGUCCGACCACUCCAAGCCCUGGGCUGGGUCGGGGCACAGCAGUCCACACAGAGUCUUUUUGUGUCAAUCAGGGAAAGGAUUCCUUUCCUUGAGACAUCUGACCUCCAUCUGCCGGAAAACUGUCAUAAUAAAUAUACACAUUGGCCGUGUUUAUGGUGUGAACCGUGAUCCCUGCAUGCAGUGCCAUUGUGCAGUGCACACCCUGCACAACCUUACAUGGCAGUCUUGGCUGGGCUGAGAUAUGAUGGGCAGGCCCCCUGCUGCCCUGGCCCCUCAUCUUCUGCCUUAUGGAGCAGUGACUGGGGUUAUGUGGGGCCUCAAUGAGGGGUCCAAGAGCCCCUUGGUGGAGCAGACUGAGGGCCAAGAGGAAGAUGCAGGGUAGAGGUAGAGAGAUGAAACAGAGGAGGAAGUGAAGGGGAGUGGAAGGAGGCGGUGGAUGCCCAGGUCACCAUCUACAUCCACUUCCAGAGCAAACUUCAACUCUUACCCAUCUGAGAGGGUGCGCGGCCGCCUGGCGCUCUGGCCACGGCCGCCCGGAGGAGUCCACAUCUUCAAAGAUGUCAUACGUAUGAAAGGAAAGGGAGCCCCUGCGGCAGAGGGGACCCGGCAGAGGGGAUGGGCGUGGGCACUGCAGGAGGCUUCCCCAGUCUGUGCUCCGCCACGUGGUCCCAACCACAGGAGGACGAGGUACCCGGCCUGCCUGGGGGUGUUGCCUUCAGAGCCGGCCGGGGGACCGGGCAGCGGAGGCUGCGCCCAGAGAUCCUCAGGGCCACGCGCAGGGCUUCGGGCUGACCCACCGCGCGGGAAGAGAGCCCCUGUCCCCAGACGGUGGCCACGCCUGUCUCUCUUGCACCCUCUUCCGAGGUCCUCGGGGCAGGAGAGGAAGCCAGCGGCAGAGUCCAGGUCCUUCGUUUCCUUCUCGAGCUUCGGGGCCAGACGCUGGAGGCGGCCGAGGGGAGCCCCGCUGGCGGACGGGUGGAUGGACGCGGAGGGGUGGGGGAAGCACCAUUGGCCGUCCGAAUCAGGCAUCGAGACAGACGGACGAGGGGACAAUAUUAUGACUCCAAGGACCCCAUGGGGGCGAUACCGCAAAUACCAUAUUAAAUAACCCUGUGGGCCAAGCAGAGGACAGGGGGAGUCAGAGACAGACUGGGGGGCGUCCCAUGCUCACAAGCCCCCUUGGCCGGGGACGGGGAGCCGGGGUCCACCAGCGCCUCUGAUUUCCAGCCGGCUCGCUCAGGGCUGGGGGAGCUGAGGGUAGACCUCCCGUUCUCUCGGGGCUGCCACACAGCUGGGCUGGGGUCUCCCAAGCCCCCCGUCACCUGCCCCAUGGAAAACAGCGGAUAACUGGGGGUGGGGGGGAGCCAGGGUGUGGCUUAGAGGCUGGGUUUUGUAUGGAAAAAUGCCUCUCCCCCAGCAUUUUCCCAUACAAGGAAACCCAGGGCAACGGAG
ensembl:lncRNA